AAACGUAGGAGGCGAGCGUUAUCCGGAUUUACUGGGCGUAAAGCGUACGCAGGUGGCUUCGUGAGUCGGACAUGAAAGCUCCCGGCUUAACUGGGAGAGGUUGUUCGAUACUGCGGGGCUUGAGGUUGGGAGAGGGACGUGGAAUUCCCGGUGUAGUGGUGGAAUGCGUAGAUAUCGGGAGGAACACCAGUGGCGCAAGCGGCGUCCUGGCCCACACCUGACGCUGAGGUACGAAAGCGUGGGUAGCAAACAGGAUUAGAUACCCUGGUAGUCCACGCUGUAAACGAUGUCAACUGGGUGUCGGUAGUUUUACACUAUCGGUGCCGAAGCCAACGCGUUAAGUUGACCGCCUGGGGACUACGGCCGCAAGGCUAAA
rnacentral:rRNA from 1 species